UGGCUCAGAGGUUAAAGCGUCUGCCUACAAUGCAGGAGACCUGGGUUCGAUCCCUG
rfam:Ovis aries breed Texel chromosome 12, whole genome shotgun sequence.